rnacentral:rRNA from 1 species
UACGUAGGGGGCUAGCGUUGUCCGGAUUUACUGGGCGUAAAGUGUGCGCAGGUGGCCGCGCAAGUCGAGUGUGAAAUCCCCGAGCUUAACUUGGGAAUUGCGCUCGAAACUACGUGGCUCGAGUGUGGCAGAGGAAGGUGGAAUUCCACGUGUAGCGGUGAAAUGCGUAGAGAUGUGGAGGAACGCCGAUGGCGAAGGCAGCCUUCUGGGCCAACACUGACGCUCAUGCACGAAAGCGUGGGGAGCAAACAGG